AUGAACUGCGACAUGGAGGAGAAAGGGAUUGUACUCCGGGAGCUGAGCUGCCAGACUCUCCUCCAUGUCUCCUCCUCCGGACUACGGCGGCAGUCCGGCAGCUCCGGUGGGGGGAGGCAGUCCAGCAGAGAAAGGGAUUGUACUCCCGGAGCUGAGCUGCAGCCAAGUUCCCCCUGCCGGAGCUGCUCGUCCGCUGGUCCACAAAAUCUCUGGCCCUCUCUCAACAGGCUGACCCAAGGCUGCUGUGUGGCGCUGCGGACGCUACUUCCGGGUAGCCGGCUUGGUUUGGUUAGCAGGACGCUUAAGGUCUACCUGCUAUUUUCGGUUUAUAUCUAUUUUUCCGCUAUUUAUAUCUGCGUCCUGUUCUGCAUACUCUGUAUUGUAUUCGCUAUUUCCUCGUUGGAGCUCUGUCUGCAUCAACCAAGUAAUGGCAACAUAGAUGAAGCUCGAACCAUUGAGGAGGCACGCUACGCUGUUUGCUAUUCGCGGUUUCAGAAAGGUGGCUGGGUAGUCCGCCCCAUCAAGGAGAAACCAUCUUACGGUUAGUCGUUUCACUUAGUUUCUCAAUAUCUUUUAUGUCAAUCUAUCUUUUUUUAUGCAAGUCAAUCAUGUUCCUGAUUGUGUUCUUAACAUUUCUCUCCUCAAGGAUAUGCAACAAAUCUUAUGGUCUCUCUGGUAGAGGAAUACUCUAGAUCACCACAGGCCCUACUAGAAAGCAGUGCUGUCUUGUCUUGUGCUGCCCCGCCCCCCCUCACCACUUCCCUCCAGAAGGUUGCCAAGGAUGAGGCAGUCAGGCUCCAUCUCGCACGACACUCGCGUUUUAACGUGUAAUAAAACAUACGUGAAAGAAAUUGGGAGAAAACGGGUAUCGGUACUCUUUAGUUCGUUUAUUAGUUACAAUGGAACUGAGUUGAUGGUAUAGUGUAUGAUGACAACAUCAGUGAAUGAGAUGAUGAGAAUAUAUUUUUGGACUAUUUAUUAUGCUACCUUUCUUCUUUUUUAACGACUCCAGUGUGUGAGUGCAUUGAAUUUCCCGUGCAAUGACAAAUAAAUCGAAUCUAAUCUAAU
rnacentral:lncRNA from 1 species